rnacentral:rRNA from 1 species
GACGAACGCUGGCGGCGUGCUUAACACAUGCAAGUCGAACUGAAAGGCCCUGCUUGCAGGGUGCUCGAGUGGCGAACGGGUGAGUAACACGUGGGUGAUCUGCCCCUUACUUUGGGAUAAGCCUGGGAAACUGGGUCUAAUACUGGAUAGGACCAUGCUGUAGGUGGUGUGGUGGAAAGAUUAGUUUCGGUAAGGGAUGAGCUCGCGGCCUAUCAGCUUGUUGGUGGGGUAAUGGCCUACCAAGGCGUCGACGGGUAGCCGGCCUGAGAGGGUGGACGGCCACAUUGGGACUGAGAUACGGCCCAGACUCCUACGGGAGGCAGCAGUGGGGAAUAGUGCACAAUGGGCGCAAGCCUGAUGCAGCGACGCCGCGUGGGGGAUGACGGCCUUCGGGUUGUAAACUCCUUUCAGCCAUGACGAAGCCCUUGUGGUGACGGUAGUGGUAGAAGAAGCACCGGCUAACUACGUG